rnacentral:rRNA from 1 species
UACGUAGGGUGCAAGCGUUAAUCGGAAUUACUGGGCGUAAAGCGUGCGCAGGCGGUUGUGCAAGACAGAUGUGAAAUCCCCGGGCUUAACCUGGGAACUGCAUUUGUGACUGCACGGCUAGAGUGUGUCAGAGGGGGGUAGAAUUCCACGUGUAGCAGUGAAAUGCGUAGAGAUGUGGAGGAACACCGAUGGCGAAGGCGGCCCCCUGGGCUGAGAUUGACGCUCAGGCACGAAAGCGUGGGGAGCAAACAGG